rnacentral:rRNA from 1 species
GAUGAACGCUGGCGGCGUGCCUAAUACAUGCAAGUCGAGCGAACAGACGAGGAGCUUGCUCCUCUGACGUUAGCGGCGGACGGGGGAGUAACACGUGGAUAACCUACCUAUAAGACUGGGAUAACUUCGGGAAACCGGAGCUAAUACCGGAUAAUAUAUUGAACCGCAUGGUUCAAUAGUGAAAGACGGUUUUGCUGUCACUUAUAGAUGGAUCCGCGCCGCAUUAGCUAGUUGGUAAGGUAACGGCUUACCAAGGCCACGAUGCGUAGCCGAUCUGAGAGGGUGAUCGGCCACACUGGAACUGAGACACGGUCCAGACUCCUACGGGAGGCAGCAGUAGGGAAUAUUCCGCAAUGGGCGAAAGCCUGACGGAGCAACGCCGCGUGUAUGAUGAAGGUCUUCGGAUCGUAAAACUCUGUUAGUAGGGAAGAACAAAGUUGUAAUUAACUCUUCACGUCUUGACGUUACCUGCUCAGAAAGCACCGGCUAACUACGUG